UCAGGAUGAACGCUAGCGGCAGGCUUAACACAUGCAAGUCGAGGGGUAACAGGUAGCUUGCUAUGCUGACGACCGGCGAACGGGUGCGUAACGCGUAUAGAAUCUGCCUUGUACAGGAGGAUAGCCUUUAGAAAUGAAGAUUAAUACUCCAUAAUGUUAAUUAGAGGCAUCUCUUAUUAAUUAAACAUUUAUGGGUACAAGAUGACUAUGCGUCCUAUUAGCUAGAUGGUAAGGUAACGGCUUACCAUGGCAACGAUAGGUAGGGGGUCUGAGAGGAUUAUCCCCCACACUGGUACUGAGACACGGACCAGACUCCUACGGGAGGCAGCAGUGAGGAAUAUUGGUCAAUGGAGGCAACUCUGAACCAGCUAUGCCGCGUGCAGGAAGACUGCCCUAUGGGUUGUAAACUGCUUUUAUACAGGAAGAAACAGUAGUACGUGUACUACCUUGACGGUACUGUAAGAAUAAGGACCGGCUAACUCCGUGCCAGCAGCCGCGGUAAUACGGAGGGUCCAAGCGUUAUCCGGAAUCAUUGGGUUUAAAGGGUCCGCAGGCGGUCAAUUAAGUCAGAGGUGAAAGCCCAUCGCUCAACGAUGGAACUGCCUUUGAUACUGGUUGACUUGAGUUAUACGGAAGUAGAUAGAAUAAGUAGUGUAGCGGUGAAAUGCAUAGAUAUUACUUAGAAUACCGAUUGCGAAGGCAGUCUACUACGUAUAUACUGACGCUCAUGGACGAAAGCGUGGGGAGCGAACAGGAUUAGAUACCCUGGUAGUCCACGCCGUAAACGAUGGAUACUAGUUGUUGGGUUUAUUCUCAGUGACUAAGCGAAAGUGAUAA
rnacentral:rRNA from 1 species